AGAGAAAGCAGUGCAUAGCACAGCAGAGCAAAGCAAGGCAAAAUAGCAGCCAAAGCCACGAGAAUCAAGAAGUCAGUGAAGAGCAGGAAAGGUAAGUUUCCCUUAAAGCAAGGGGGAAUGGUAGUGGAAGGGAGAAAAGAGAGGGGAGGGGAGGGGAAGUGAAGGAGUGGGGGGAGAGGGGGAGGAGCAGUGGGGAAAGCGGUGGGGCUAGAGGGGGGUGAGGGGGGCAAGAGGGGGGAGGGAGGAGGGGUGGAGAGGGGGGUGAGUAAGUGGGGGCGUGGGUGGAGGGGGGGGGGGGGGGAGAGGGUGGGAAGGAAAAAUUGGAGGUAGGGUGAGGGAAGGGGAGGGUUGAAGGGAAAAUAAUGAAACAGAGGAAAAAGAGAAUAACAAGUAAAAAGCAAUGCAUGUAAAUACAGAGCAAGCAAGUAGGAAGCUAGGCAUAGCACAGCAAAAGAGAGCAAAGCAAAAGAAGGCAAAGAAUGACAAAAAGCAACCUUGCAGGAAUGGAGGAAUCUGUCCAGAGCUGUGCCCCUGCUUGCCACAGGAGCUGCGCGGGAGGAGAAGAACGUGGGCCAAAAGGAAUGGAGGAAUCUGUCCAGAGCUGUGCCCCUGCUUGCCACAGGAGCUGCGCGGGAGGAGAAGAACGUGGGCCAAAAGGAAUGGAGGAAUCUGUCCAGAGCUGUGCCCCUGCUUGCCACAGGAGCUGCGCGGGAGGAGAAGAACGUGGGCCAAAAGGUAAGAGGAGCUCCUUUGGGUUCUGGGCUUGAAGCAAAGCUGAGAAGCCAUGCCCGGGAGGAGGUGUGGGUUAGCUACAGGCCACCUUGCUAUCUCCCAAGAGAUGAGGUGUGUGGGCUAGGCACCGGGCAGGAGUGCUGGCCAGAAGCAAGCAUCUCUGUGGAGGAAGGCAAAGGGCGGAGGAGGUUAGGGACUGGGAAGGGUUUUUUAAAAUAACAAAAAAUUGUGAAAUGAGGAAGAAAUGAGCUAAAUAAUGCUAAUAAUUAUACAUAAUGGAUUGCAACGAAUUUCAUCAACGCAAAUAUGAAAUUUUACUGUGUAGGAGUGUGUGCAUGCCUCUGACUGAUUAGUGAUCCUGGGAUGGAAGAGAGAAUUUUGCCAGUUUUAGGGGAAUUGAUAUUUUAGCUGUAGCCAUGGAGAGCUUGUUUUGUGGAGAGAGCUGACCUGUUGUUCAU
rnacentral:lncRNA from 7 species